rnacentral:rRNA from 1 species
UACGGGGGGGCAAGCGUUGUUCGGAAUUACUGGGCGUAAAGGGCUCGUAGGCGGCCAACUAAGUCAGACGUGAAAUCCCUCAGCUUAACUGGGGAACUGCGUCUGAUACUGGAUGGCUUGGAUUCGGGAGAGGAAUGCGGAAUUCCAGGUGUAGCGGUGAAAUGCGUAGAUAUCUGGAGGAACACCGGUGGCGAAGGCGGCAUUCUGGACCGACAUUGACGCUGAGGAGCGAAAGCCAGGGAGCAACGGG